rnacentral:rRNA from 1 species
UACGUAGGGGGCAAGCGUUGUCCGGAAUCAUUGGGCGUAAAGAGCGUGUAGGCGGCUCGGUAAGUCCGCUGUGAAAGUCCAGGGCUCAACCCUGGAAUGCCGGUGGAAACUGUCGAGCUAGAGUCCGGAAGAGGCGAGUGGAAUUCCUGGUGUAGCGGUGAAAUGCGCAGAUAUCAGGAGGAACACCAAUGGCGAAGGCGGGUCUCUGGGCCGAUAUUGACGCUGAGGAGCGAAAGCGUGGGGAGCGAACAGG